UGACAAAAAAGCGGCCACAGCGAGC
rnacentral:piRNA from 1 species